GGAUGAACGCUGGCGGCGUGCUUAACACAUGCAAGUCGAACGGUGAAGGAGAGCUUGCUCUCCGGAUCAGUGGCGAACGGGUGAGUAACACGUGAGCAACCUGCCCCGGACUCUGGGAUAACAGCUGGAAACAGCUGCUAAUACCGGAUACGAGCUGCGAAGGCAUCUUCAGCAGCUGGAAAGAAUUUCGGUCCGGGAUGGGCUCGCGGCCUAUCAGCUUGUUGGUGAGGUAACGGCUCACCAAGGCGUCGACGGGUAGCCGGCCUGAGAGGGUGACCGGCCACACUGGGACUGAGACACGGCCCAGACUCCUACGGGAGGCAGCAGUGGGGAAUAUUGCACAAUGGGCGAAAGCCUGAUGCAGCAACGCCGCGUGAGGGACGACGGCCUUCGGGUUGUAAACCUCUUUUAGCAGGGAAGAAGCGAAAGUGACGGUACCUGCAGAAAAAGCGCCGGCUAACUACGU
rnacentral:rRNA from 1 species